AUUGAACGCUGGCGGCAGGCCUAACACAUGCAAGUCGAGCGGAUGAAGGGAGCUUGCUCCUGGAUUCAGCGGCGGACGGGUGAGUAAUGCCUAGGAAUCUGCCUGGUAGUGGGGGAUAACGUCCGGAAACGGGCGCUAAUACCGCAUACGUCCUGAGGGAGAAAGUGGGGGAUCUUCGGACCUCACGCUAUCAGAUGAGCCUAGGUCGGAUUAGCUAGUUGGUGGGGUAAAGGCCUACCAAGGCGACGAUCCGUAACUGGUCUGAGAGGAGGAUCAGUCACACUGGAACGGAGACACGGUCCAGACUCCUACGGGAGGCAGCAGUGGGAAAUAUUGGACAAUGGGCGAAAGCCUGAUCCAGCCAGGCCGCGUGUGUGAAGAAGGUCUUCGGAUUGUAAAGCACUUUAAGUUGGGAGGAAGGGCAGUAAGUUAAUACCUUGCUGUUUUGACGUUACCAACAGAAUAAGCACCGGCUAACUUCGU
rnacentral:rRNA from 1 species